GACAGAGGUGCCAAGCGUUAGGCGGAAUCACUGGGCUUAAAGCGUGUGUAGGCGGAAUUGUAAGUACCUUGUGAAAUCCCACGGCUCAACCGUGGAACUGCUCGGUAUACUGCUUUUCUUGAGCCACUUAGGGGCUACCGGAACAAAUGGUGGAGCGGUGAAAUGCGUAGAUAUCUGGAGGAACACCGGUGGCGAAGGCGGCAUCCUGGACCGACACUGACGCUGAGGAGCGAAAGCCAGGGGAGCAAACGGG
rnacentral:rRNA from 1 species